CAGCGAUCUCCGAGUUCAUUUUAAGGUACCCUGGAUCUUCAUGAUAAUGAAUGGAAAUUCAGACAUAUAUUUCGAGGAGGCUUGCAACAACACUAGAGUAAUUGGUAUGUGAAGUAGAUCAAGGAAGAUCCUGCAAAGUUUAUCUUGAAGUAGAGGAAAAUAACUGACUUGUAAAGCUUAAUCUUGUAAAUUUUGGUAGAAGCUCCAUUCCUUUUGUAACAUUCAUGAGGAAAAUUAAAAUGUAACAUUUCUUUUUAUAUAAGCUUCAUUCCUUUUGUAUA